rnacentral:rRNA from 1 species
AUGACUCUACAAGGCGCCCCCUGUUGGUUACCUGCCUGGGGCUCGGCCCAGCUCAAUAGCCUGAGAUGGGAGCCCAGCUGGGCCACCGGCCUGGAGGUGAUCUUUGGAGCCGGCGCCUCGACGACCAACAUGCAUCCGGUGGGCAUCCAGGCCUGUGAACAUGUUCCUUCAGUGGAAGAAACUGGAGCCAGGAGGGCGUUGGCGGCGGCCAAUCUAUCCGGUCCAGGGCUCAUCACUGCCAUCACCAGCAAAGUUUCCGAGCUGCAUAUCGAUGAACAAUGGGCCUUCAUCAGCAAGAUCGCCUCGCUGCUAUCUGACUCUCUCCUGGGGGCACCAAAGAAGACGUCACGACCGCUCAGGCAGUGCUUUCUCGGAGUCGUGAAGAGCCCUAGACAGAGCGUCCGCUUGUCUCGGCAGUGUUCCAACUUCUCCUCCUCAAGGCGCUCGCAGGCGGCGAUCAGUGUCAAGCUCGGGUUCAUCCGGCGGGUGGAGGACUUCAAUGACGACACGCUGCUCCAGUACAUCCACUUCUUCCGCUCACCGAUGCCAUCAGAGAAUGUGGCAAAGCUGGCCGAGAUAGCCGGUCUCACCUCCCCGGUGCAGCUGCGCCUCCUGGACGAUGAACUCCAGGCCAUCCUGGACGAGCUCGCCGCCAGGGCGAUGUAG